GGUGCAGAAUUAUUUUUGCAAUAUGUUCCUGAUAUGUAAUAUAUAAGUAUAUUGGGAACAUUUUGCAUCCAUAGUUUUGUAUC
rnacentral:pre_miRNA from 1 species